UUAAACGGCCGCGGUACUCUAACCGUGCGAAGGUAGCGUAAUCACUUGUCUACUAAAUAUAGACCAGUAUGAAUGGCAUCACGAGGGUUACACUGUCUCCCGACUUAAGUCAGUUAAACUGAUUUUCCCGUGAAGAAGCGGGAAUACUAUUAUAAGACGAGAAGACCCCAUGGAGCUUAAAACUAAAAUCAACUGCUAAACUAUAUAUCUACAAAAUGCAGCAGAACUGACUAAAGUUUUCGGUUGGGGCGACCGCGGAGUAUAAUAAAACCUCCUCGAUGAAUGAACAUAGAUUCUUACCCGAGGGNCACACCCCAAA
rnacentral:rRNA from 1 species